rnacentral:tRNA from 1 species
GUUUUUAUGGUGUACUUAAAGCACGUUAGGUUUUCAUCCUAAAGGUGUGAAUUCAUUUCACUAAAAAUA